UGAGGAAUAUUGGUCAAUGGGCGGCAGCCUGAACCAGCCAUCCCGCGUGAAGGAAGAAUGCGCUAUGCGUUGUAAACUUCUUUUCCAGGGGAAUAAAAAUCUGUACGAGUACAGGUCUGAAGGUACCCUGGGAAUAAGCAUCGGCUAACUCCGUGCCAGCAGCCGCGGUAAUACGGAGGAUGCGAGCGUUAUCCGGAUUUAUUGGGUUUAAAGGGUGCGUAGGCGGAUUAUUAAGUCAGUGGUGAAAACCUGCAGCUUAACUGUAGACUUGCCAUUGAUACUGGAAAUCUUGAGUAUGGUCAAGGCAGGCGGAAUGUGUAAUGUAGCGGUGAAAUGCUUAGAUAUUACACAGAACACCGAUAGCGAAGGCAGCUUGCUGGGCCGUUACUGACGCUGAUGCACGAAAGCGUGGGGAUCGAACAGG
rnacentral:rRNA from 2 species